UUCCUACAAAACCCGAAAGCCAAUGAUCCCCGCCACUAUAUGCAACCAGCAAAACAGGCGAUGAAAGAGGUGGUACGCAAAGUAAUCCAUGUUUGCGGCUGUGAAGGGCAACUGUGAGGAAUCGCCUGUGAUCUACACGCUAACACUUAAUAGCGCGAUUGAUAUGAAUAUAUUUAGCGAUCCUUUACAGCCAAAUAUUGUCAAUCGCACUCACCACACCGAGUUUUGCCCAAAUGGUAAAGGAGUAAAUGUUGCGCUGGUUCUGGAUC
rnacentral:misc_RNA from 1 species